AGCGGCCCGAGCCCCGGGCGCCUCCGCCAGCCAAUGAGGAGGGCCGGGGGCGUGGGUCGCCGGCUAGACCCGCCUCGGGGAACAAUGGGCGGGUGGGCGCGUGUCUGCCCACCCCCAGCCGGCCUCGCCCCGGGCUCUUGGGGCGGCCGCGAGCAGCACGUGUCCAGCGCUUCCCCGCCCUCAGCCUGUGAAGAAGCUGCGGCCCUAUCCGGCGCCCUUAGCCCUAGCGUGGGGAGAGCGGCCGUCGGGCGUUCACGGGAUAUGCACAGUAGCAUCACUUCCUGACACAGAGACCUCACAGCCCAGAAACCCGUUGAGAUACUGAGCCAAGUUAAGCAUUCAGAAACAAAGUAAAAAUGGAGUUUCAGCAUCCCCAAGAUGAUUGAAGUACGUGGCCUUUGGCUUUUCAAUGCUGAAUGCAGCUGUGGCAUGGUAAAAUCCCAGUUUAUCACAGUCUGGCACAUCGUCUUAUCUCCGUGGAACGCUCUUCUGCCGUGCAGUUUUACCACGGUGAAUCUGAAUUUGUGGAAGACAAUUAUGUAGCAUUUCAACCAGCUGAAAGAAUUCUAUGGCUGCAAGACAUGAGUAAGAGAGAAACUUGAAUUAUACAAGACAGUUAAUGUGCACGUAUCAACAUUUAUGUGCAGUAUUUAUAUUUCUACAAACCACAGCUUCAUAUGAUCAUGUGUGUGUCUAAUGACUCCCUCUCUCGUACGUCAGAAGAAGAAAGUAUCAAAUGCCAUAGUAAUGCUCCUGGACAAGCGAUGAAUGCUUUUUUUUCUCCUUGCACUGAUUUUAAGUAUGAAAAGACUGGGAAUUGGAGCCAAUGUGUUGCAGAUACCUGUAGCCAGCUCUGGAUAUUCUUUAAAAUAUGUAACAUCUAUUUUUAGCAUGUGGCAAACACACAUUGUCAUGUAAAAGUAUCUCAUUUACUUCCGGUAUCCACGGUAGGAAGGGACUAAAAAUUAUUUGGGAAACAUUUAAUUGAAAAAGAGUUGCAAAGCUUCUGCUUCCACUUUCUAAGAAGGAGCCUGAUAAGGCCUUGAUCCUGGCACACAACUGCUUUCAGGAUGUUUUCCAGUUUGUUUCCCCUCUACCUCCAUUUGACCAUUGGGACAGAGAGCUGCCCAUAGAAACCUCUAUUUCUCUAGGAACGUGCUGAGAAGACAUAGGUGCAGAUGGCGUACUGCAUCAGGAAUGAGUUUAGAGGAUGAUCACUACUGGCCAUUGACUAUCAAUGAGACAUUAACACACCACAAAGGACCUGCAGGGUGAGGGGGGGACCACCAAGUUUCAGGGGUCAAGCCUCUUUAGAUCAGUUAGAACUCAGCUGAUGUUAAUUUGUUUAUUGAUUUAGCACAAAUAAAAAAGUGUUAGGUGGGCAUUAGAAACCAGGAAUUAACGAGAGCUGCAGAGCUCAGGAGUUAAUGAGAUCUGUAGAGCAAUUAGUCUGCAUUACACAAGAAGGUGUAGAGGGUACCAAUGGUCAGAACAGUAUACAAGGCUUGAUCUUAGAAAAAGGCUCUGAGUUUAAGUUUCAUCUGAGUUUCCCAGAUGAAAAUGUAUCUAGCCUAGGACCUGAUUCACCUGUCUUUGAAGUGACUUGCUGUUGAUUUCAAUGGAAGCAGGAUCAGGAUUUGCUUCUCAAAUAAAUGAGGGGCUUGAGUCUAGCUGUUCAUUAUUUAAUUCUUUGGUUUGGUAGGGGAGAAAGCUUUACAUAGAGAAAAAACAGCAUAACAUACCCCUCACAAAUUCUGAGUAAUAUAGAGCAAAAUCUAUUAUACAGGAUUCAACAGAAGAAAAAAAAGUUCUUCCUUGCUAAAAUUAAUUCCAAGCUGCAGGAUGAAACAUAAUACUUUGGACUGCUGUAACACCUCCCAUCUGAAGAUCUGACAAAUAUUAAGAUAUUAAUCUCAAAACAGCACUUAUUUAAAAAUGAGCACAUACUGUUCAUUUCUUUACUUUCAGAGGGAAGGAUUAUAUUAACAUUUGGGAUCUGAUACUUUCUUUAUCAGGUCUAGUUUAAAGUAAACUCUUGUUUUUGAA